AAAAAUCAAAAAGGGUGGCUGGAGCACCGUGAGAACCGUAAACUUUCGUGGCCUCAAACCGCUAGAUAAAGAGGUUAAUCAAGGUGGUUCUUGGAUGGAUUUUGUAGAGGGGAAUGAGAGCUUCAAGAUGGCAGUGGUGGCGUCGAAAAAUUCCACCGUAGUUGGCCGGAAUCGACCUUGGAAGUUGGGUGGUCGGGGUGGUGGCGUGCACAGGAAAGCUGGGAGCUUUCUCCCUUUUUUUUUUUUUCUUUUCUGAUUUCUGAUUGGGCUGCUGCCCUUUUUCUACCUUUUAUCUAAUUGGUCCUCCUUAACCAAUUAACUAACUUUAAAUAACCAACUUCAAAAGUUUGUAACUAUACCGUUAUAAUCCGGACUUGCAAACAGCUUUCGCCUAUGUACUCGUACCAACGAGUACUACUUAAAUAUGCCAAAAGAAUAAGUCAUACAUUCCUCUAAAUGAUGGUUAAUAGAAAUCAAAAUCCUUGCCUCUAGGCAUUUUCCUCAAUUCUCUCGAUUAAAAUAAUAAAAAAAAAAUAUUUUAUGGACGGGUUGUCACAUCAACCGUUUUUUUUUUUUUUUUUUUUUUUUUGCUUUCAUUUACACUACCAAUUCAAUUUUUCAAAAUUGGAUUUUAAUUUUAUUUUUAUAAAAUAUGAGUACAUUUAUAUAAUAAAAUUUGGCUACAUUUAUUACAUAAAUAAUUGGUACAUUUAUAUAAAAAUGUGGGUACAUUUUACAUACAAAAAAAUGUAUACAUUUUAUACAAAAAAAAGGGGCAUGUAUUAUAUAACAAAAAAUGGGUACAUUUUAUAUUAAAAAAACAAUGGGUACAUUAUAUAUAUAUAAACAAUGGUACAUUUUAGAUUAAAAAAAAAAAAAGAGUGUCACUAGACCCACCACAGUGUCUUAUUUUCCCACCCACAUGAUAAUCACACACACCAUAAAAAGUUAAAAAAAGUUAAAUGUUAUUUUCAUACCCACCAUUAUUCCCAAUAUAGCCCUAAUAUAUUUCGUUUUAAAUAACUCUAAAAUAUCUUUAAAUGAAUGGAAAAAUUAAAGAAAAUGGAAGACCUAGACAUUCAUUGAUGUGAAAUAAUCUAACACUCAAAUUGAAACCCUAUGGUUGUAGUAUGUGUAAGUAGGGAUCGUUUUAGGCCGGAAAUUAAAAGGGAUGCUAAUCUACUCAAUUUAAACUUUAAAACACUAAACUAGACUAAAAAACACUUAACUAAACUCUAAAUACUUAAAACUGACUUAAAACACUCAAAACAGCAAAACUAAGUUGAAAAGACUCAAAACUGACUCUAGGGAGUUAUUUGAACGAAUUUAAGACUAUUAAGACUCAAAACACUAAAUUGGAUAGAUUGAAACACUUUUCUAACUAAUCUAACACACUUAAUUAAAGGGGGGAUUGAUUUGGACAAAAUUAAUUAAAUUGAACAGAUUGCAAAACUAAAUCAAAUUAAGCACGAAAUCAGGUGAAUUGAAUGGUGAAAUAGGCUAGUGAUAGGAGCAUAUUUAUGCAACUUAGUUGGCUUGUUCUUGUGCAUUUAUGUUGUGUUUCCUUAGUUAUUUUAAUGUUUAAAGUCAUUUUCAUGUGUUUUCAGAUUUUAAGGACAAAGUAGGCAAGAAGAUGCAUUUUGGAGCAUUUUGAAGCAAAAUGGAGCUUGGAAUGCAUGUCACAUAUUUGGAACCAAGGUUUGGACGAAAUUGAAGACUUAAAGAAGCUAAGAAUGUGAAGAAUUAGUGUACAAAG
rnacentral:lncRNA from 1 species